GUCGCUAGCUGGUCGGUUAGAUUUCUGCAUUUCCGGAGCUGACGAGCGCCGAGUUCGACAUUGGGAGGGAGGGAGGAGGGAGCAGAAAGUGGAGGAAAGCCCUAGGCCUCUCUUCUUCCUCCACACCGCUCUUUCACGCUCUAGCUAUGGAAGAGCUGCGUAGCGCCCGGCAUUGGGGGAAGAAACCGCACGGGUCCGCGGUGUUCGCAAGGCCUGCUUAUGACGACUUUUUGGGCAGGAUGCCCUUUCCUGCGCAGUUUGAGGAUUACUGCGAGAUUUUCGGCACUGCAGCUUCCGCCUCCUCAAUCCCUGUGCUCGACCUUCCCCCGGCAGAUGACGACUUCGUGGCCGCCGGAGACAGCGACAGACGAGUCUGCGUGGACUACUCCGAGAUAUUCGGGGGACUUAGCGGAGGUGGCUUCAUGGUUUCGUACGAGGAGCUGUUUGGCGUUUCAAAGAGACCAGGAGUUUCUUCUUUGGAUGGGGUGGCUGGAUGGGGUGUGUUGUCUGAACAGGCUAAUGAAGCUUCAGAACACUUACUAGAAGGAUAUUCCAAGGAUCACAUAGAAAUUUUGGAGAUGGAAGAGGUUAUUUCAGUUCCUAACAAUACAGAUGAGACAAGUUCAAAGCAGUUCUCCAUGUCAUACCACAAAACACGCUGUGAAAUCGUAGAUGAUUUAGCUAUUGAUAAAACUAAUAUGGCUAAACUCGAUGCUAUUCAUGAAUUUAAUUUUGUGGUUGAUGCAAGCGAACCUGUUAUUAAGACGAAAAACCAACAAAUUAACACAGCGAUCACCACCACUGCAUGUACUAAGUCAGUUACACAUGAUGAAAGACAAGAGAAUGAAGCAUCAUUCAACUCUUUCUCUAAUGCAGCUAACUCCGAAAGUCUGAUGGUAGGUCAGACAUCACCAAGGUCUAAUUGUGCUUCCCUGCUAGAUACUAACCAAAAUGAGAAGUAUCAUUCUAGGUCCUCUAGCUACCAUUCAGCAUCUAGUGGUGAUAUUUCCUUUUCUGAUGUUGAGUACUUCAAUAUAUCAGAAAUUAGUCUACAAACAAAACCUUUGCAAGGUCCACCGCCUUCAAGAUCUCCUCCUCAGCUAAUUAAGAAGCCAGAUAAUCCAAAAAUGAUACAUUUAAAUUCCAAUUCUGAUGUAGAAGAUGGAAGCUUGCAAAUACCCAAGCUAAAGUAUCAUAUGCUGUCCAACAAUGGUGUUACCAAAAUCCAGGCAAUUGAUGAACAAGUUGAAGUCAAUUCAUGUUUUUAUGGUAAUGAGAUUGAUCCUAGUUCAGCUGCUGCAGCUUCUGUAGCUGCUGUAAAAGCGGCAAUGGAACAGGCUCGAGCUCGAUUAAAAAUUGCUAAGGAGUUGAUGGACAGAAAACAGGAUAAAUACAAGAGGAAGGUUGAUCAGCCUAAAGCUAUGAACUGUGAGCAAGAUGAAGCAAACUAUGAGGUAGCACUUAGAAGUUGUAACAAGGUGAUGGCUGCUAACAAAUUGCUCAAAGGGAAUAAUUCAAUUAAUGUGUGUGCUUUCCCAGAGAGGCAAGAAAUCCGUAAUGCAAGGAUGACAACUUUGAACCAUGAGAAGAAAGGACGACUUCCUUCAUCUGGUGAGAACCAACGGCCCAUGAGUUCAGAUAAUGGUUUUAAAUCAACUGAAGCAACUUGUGAAUUUGAUGACUUACCUGGUGAAUGGAAAACUGAAAAGCAAUAUAAUGAAGUGAUACGGAAUGAUAGUUUGUUGAAUGAAGUCAAUGAUAGCUUUAUGCAUGAAAAUGAGAAGAAAACAAAAGCAGUGUAUGCAUGCCAAGAUAUAUACAAAGAUGGCAUAAACGAAGAACAAGCCUUUGAAGUUCUAGAAAACAAAAAAUCAUCAGAAGCUACUUGCAGUAUUGAAAAGUUUGAAAAUGAUCACAAUUUGAAUGGUGCUAGUAUGGCUUAUAUGAAGGACUCAAAAGAGAAAGUUGUAAAUUCAAUUAUGGAAGAUUUUCUAAUAACAGAAAGUGCAAGUAAGCUUAAUGAGGCUUAUGGUUGUUGUCUAUUGGAUGAUACUGAGAAAAGAUGUGAUGCUAACGAAGAUAAUACCGCUGAGAAUGACGGAAACUUGAGAAAUGAAGGUGAUGUUUACAAAGAUAAUACUACUAAGGAUGAUUAUAACUCACCAAAUUCUUUUGUGGGCUCCUGUUUGUGUAAAGAUAGUGAGAAUAUUAUAGUAUCUGAAGGGCUGUGCUCAAGUAAAACAACUGACAAAAUGAACAUGGUUGAAGAAACUAAUAAAUUCAAUGAAAUUGUGAGGCAAAUUGAGUGCAUGAAUGUGACAUUAUGCAAGGCUGACGAGAACAAUAUAUCAAUGGAAGAGGACGAUCCUAAUGGAUUACAGGAAAAUGAGGAGGCAUAUAUUUUUAUCGAAAACGAGCUUGAACAAGAAGCAAUUCAUAAUGCUAAUGGGUUAGAAAUAAGAGAUGCUUCAACUGAGCUCCAUGAAGACGAGUUAGUUGAACCAGAUAGGAACCAUGAGCUGCACAAUUUUGCAUUCUUGGUAGCAGCUGAAAGCGACUGUGCUAAGAAAGAAAGUGACCACACUCUGGAAGUUCCUGUGGCACGUAAUUUUGUGAAAAAUCAAUUCAUUUCAGCUUCAGCUAAGGAGGUCUGGCAACAGAGUGAGGAAUCUGAUGCCCCAGAGAUUACUUUGUCAAGUAAGGAAGAUGACUCACCAACUAAAGCUCCAGAUAUGACAGAAGUUUCUAAUGCUGAGGUGGCUGAGAAUCAUAAGCAUUCAAUUCUUACUGAAGAAGAGGAAAAUAAAAAAGCAGUCAUAGAAAAAGUAAGGGACAAAGAGCGAGCUAUAAGAUUAGAAGAGAGAGAGCGGGAGAGAGAGAGAGAGAAAGAUAGGAUUGCUGUGGAAAGAGCUAAUCAUGAUGCCCACCAACGAGCACUUGUUGAAGCUCGGGAAAGGGCUGAAAGAAUUGCGGUAGAGAGGGUAACUGCUGAAGCACGGCAAAGAGCGCUUGCUGAUGCUCGAGAGAAGGCCGGAAAAGCUGCUGAAGCUGAGAAAGCUUCUAGGGGAGCAAGAUUGAGAGCUGAGCGUGCUGCAGUUGAAAGAGCAACUGAAGAGGCGCGCCAGCGUGCUAUUGAGAAAGCACUUGCUGAGAAAGCUGCCAAUGAGGCAAGAAGCAGGAUGAGGAAAGGCAAUGAAACGAUGCCCAAAGCUGCUUACGUUAAGGAAGGUUCUGAGACAAGAUUAAAAUCCACAAGUGAAAUUCUGCUGAAUACACAAUCUCAGAGUUCUGCUUGUUCAAACAAUGGACAGAAAUCUUCAAAUUCUUGCGAUACUGGUGGAAGUGAAUCAGUGUUGAGGUGCAAAGCAAGACAAGAGAGACUGCAACGGACAGCUGAGCGUGCUGCAAACGCACUUGCUGAAAAGAAUAUGCGUGAUAUUCUUGCUCAAAGAGAACAGGCAGAACGAGAUAGACUUGCAGAGUCGCUGGAUGCUGAGGUGAGGAGGUGGUCAACUGGAAAAGAUGGGAAUUUGCGCGCAUUGUUGUCAACACUUCAAUAUAUUCUUGGAUCUGACAGUGGUUGGCAGCCAGUUUCUCUAACAGAUGUUUUAACUGCGGCUGCUGUGAAGAAAGCAUAUAGAAAAUCUACUUUAUGCGUUCAUCCAGAUAAACUGCAACAGCGGGGUGCCACCAUUCAACAAAAGUACAUCUGUGAGAAGGUUUUUGAUCUCCUUAAGGAGGCCUGGAACAAAUUUAAUUCAGAGGAGCGAUAGCAAGAGAAUCCGAACGCAUCAUUAACUGUUAUUUGUACCUUCACCGCAUUGGUAACAUUGCAGGAUGAUGGCAGUGACAUCUGUUAAGUGGAAGUGAUGAUGUGAGCGCAGGGAAGCAUGAGGUGAAGAAAACAUUAAGAUGUUUUAGUUGCUUAGGAGUGAUUUCAACUAAACUAUGGUCCUUUUUAAGAUUGAAAGAAUAAAAUUAUUGACUUGAGUUGAGGUUUAAAGAGAAUUUGU